AAGUAGCAGUUAAUUUAAGAAUCCAACUAUUAUCCUUUUAGGAGGACGGAGAACUUCGCCUUCCUAAGUCGUUUUAGAUGAUAGAAAUUUCAAAUCAACAGUCAGAAUCGGUAAAAUUGAUAUAGAGUAUUUAAAGUGUGUAGAAACUAAAUUUUAUAAAUUUUAAAAAUUAUUUACAUAGUGAUAAAAGGAUAAUAAAAUCGAUAGUUUUUUACAGCCUAUAUAAGCCGUUUACUUAUUUAACGGUAUAGAACAAUCCAAACAGUUUGAAUUUUUAAUAAAAAAUUUUUUAUACUAUUUAGAUAACGUUUGAUAACUCUGAUCAUAAAUUGAAAAAGUCUAACAUCUAUUUUUACCGUUCAUUUUUCUACUGCUCAAUGAACUUGAUAACGAUUGAUAACGAAUUUUAAAAUUUUUGAAAUUUAGUUUCUAAAUAUUUUAAAUACUUUAUAUUAAAUUUAACGGUUUCAAUUAUCGAUUCGAAAUUCCUAUUAUUUAAAACGACUUAGGAGGACGAAGGCCUCCGUCCUCCUAAAAGGAUAGUAUCU
rnacentral:lncRNA from 1 species